rnacentral:rRNA from 1 species
GACGAACGCUGGCGGCGUGCUUAACACAUGCAAGUCGAACGGAAAGGCCCUGCUUUUGUGGGGUGCUCGAGUGGCGAACGGGUGAGUAACACGUGAGUAACCUGCCCUUGACUUUGGGAUAACUUCAGGAAACUGGGGCUAAUACCGGAUAGGAGCUCCUGCUGCAUGGUGGGGGUUGGAAAGUUUCGGCGGUUGGGGAUGGACUCGCGGCUUAUCAGCUUGUUGGUGGGGUAGUGGCUUACCAAGGCUUUGACGGGUAGCCGGCCUGAGAGGGUGACCGGGCACAUUGGGACUGAGAUACGGCCCAGACUCCUACGGGAGGCAGCAGUGGGGAAUAUUGCACAAUGGGCGGAAGCCUGAUGCAGCAACGCCGCGUGCGGGAUGACGGCCUUCGGGGUGUAAACCGCUUUCGCCUGUGACGAAGCGUGAGUGACGGUAAUGGGUAAAGAAGCAACGGCUAACUACGUG